rnacentral:rRNA from 1 species
AUUGAACGCUGGCGGCAUGCCUUACACAUGCAAGUCGAACGGCAGCACGGGUGCUUGCACCUGGUGGCGAGUGGCGAACGGGUGAGUAAUAUAUCGGAACGUACCUUAUUGUGGGGGAUAACGCAGCGAAAGCUGUGCUAAUACCGCAUAAUCCCUAAGGGGAAAAGCGGGGGACCGUAAGGCCUCGCGCAAUUAGAGCGGCCGAUGCCUGAUUAGCUAGUUGGUGAGGUAAAGGCUCACCAAGGCAACGAUCAGUAGCUGGUCUGAGAGGACGAUCAGCCACACGGGGACUGAGACACGGCCCAGACUCCUACGGGAGGCAGCAGUGGGGAAUUUUGGACAAUGGGGGCAACCCUGAUCCAGCAAUGCCGCGUGAGUGAAGAAGGCCUUCGGGUUGUAAAGCUCUUUUGUCAGGGAAGAAACAGCAGCUCUAACACAGUUUGCGAAUGACGGUACCUGAAGAAUAAGCACCGGCUAACUACGUGCCAGCCGCCGCCGUAA